GAACACCGCCCGCUUCCUCUGGAGCCAAUAGAGAAGAGGAACAGCGAAGCGCUUCCUGAGUUCGGGGGUCGAGGGAAGAUGGCGACCACCAAAGUGGGUUGGUGCUUGUGCGAGUUACUGAGGUUUUUUUAUUCAUUAUUCCUCCCUGGCCUGACAGUAUGUGGAAUUUUAUGCAUAUGUUUGUUCAUUAUCCUCUGGGGAAUCAGACUGCUGGUACGAAGAAAGAAAGAGUCAGUAGCAACUAGCAAAAAUGGGAAAAAUCAACUGGUGAUUGCAUUUUUUCAUCCGUACUGCAAUGCUGGCGGCGGAGGAGAAAGAGUUUUGUGGUGUGCCUUAAGGGCUCUGCAGAAAAAGUAUCCUGAAGCAAUUUAUGUUGUGUAUACUGGUGACGUGAACGUCAGUGGUCAACAGAUUCUAGAAGGUGCUUUCCGAAGAUUUAACAUCAGCCUCACUCACCCAGUGAAGUUUGUUUUCCUGAGGAAACGCUACCUUGUGGAAGAUUCGCUCUAUCCUCACUUCACACUGCUGGGCCAAAGUCUAGGAUCCAUUUUUCUUGGCUGGGAAGCUCUAAUGCAGUGUGUUCCUGACGUUUACAUCGAUUCAAUGGGAUACGCGUUCACACUGCCUCUGUUUAAGUAUCUAGGUGGUUGUCGCAUUGGCAGCUACGUUCAUUAUCCCACGAUCAGCACUGAUAUGCUGUCUGUAGUGAAGAACCAAAAUGUCGGAUUUAAUAACGCAGCCUUCAUUACCAGGAAUCCUUUUCUCAGCAAAGUAAAGCUCAUCUAUUACUAUUUAUUUGCUUUUAUUUAUGGACUUGUGGGUUCUUGCAGUGAUGUAGUGAUGGUCAAUUCUUCUUGGACACUAAACCACAUUCUCUCACUGUGGAAAGUCGGGAAUUGCACUAAUAUUGUUUACCCACCUUGUGAUGUACAGACCUUUCUGGACAUUCCCUUACAUGAGAAAAAGACAACCCCAGGACAUUUGCUGGUUUCCAUUGGCCAGUUCCGGCCUGAAAAGAAUCAUCCUUUGCAGAUCAAAGCCUUUGCUAAAUUGCUGAAUAAGAAGGUGGCUGGAUCACUUCCUUCCCUUAAACUUGUCCUCAUUGGAGGGUGUCGUAACCAAGAUGAUGAGCUCAGGGUAAACCAACUGAGAAAGCUUUCUGAGGAUCUGGGAGUUCAAGAAAAUGUGGAAUUUAAAAUAAACAUUCCAUUUGAUGAGUUAAAGACCUACUUGUCUGAAGCAACGAUUGGUCUGCACACCAUGUGGAACGAGCAUUUUGGGAUUGGAGUCGUCGAGUGUAUGGCAGCUGGCACGAUUAUCCUCGCACACAAUUCAGGCGGCCCCAAGCUUGACAUUGUCGUCCCUCACGAAGGAGAGAUAACUGGAUUUCUGGCUGAAAGCGAAGAAGGCUACGCGGAAACCAUGGCUCAUAUUCUUUCCAUGUCUGAGGAAAAGAGACUCCAAAUCCGAAGCAGUGCUCGGGCAUCUGUAAGCAGAUUCUCUGAUCAGGAGUUUGAACUGGCGUUCCUGUCAUCUGUGGAGAGCUUAUUCAAAUAAUGUCAUAUCUGUACAGAUGAAAGAUAUUUUAUAUAAAAUGGCGACAUACCUUCAUUCACAAGAAUAAUUUAAAGACCUAAAGACUCCAUUUCACAAAGCUGUUUAAGGACAAAAAUUGGGAUUAUAACGUGGGACUUCUGACUCCAGCCCAGUUCACUUUCUUACCUUACAGCUAGUCUUUUGUGGUAAGAUCCAUACCACCGCCCCCUCAGUUUACCCAUCAGCCCAUAGAAAAUCAUGAGAAUAAAGAUAAAGAAAUUGAAAGGGACUAAGAAGUAAAGGAAGAAAGGUUUCUGAAAUCCCAUAAAGCAUUUCUUAAUCUUGUUUCUUCAAAAUUAUUUUUUCAUUUGUCACAAACAUCACUGGAAACAUAAUUUGCGUAUAUGUUCAUCUUCCCUGUUCCUAAUGUGAUAGGACAUGUCUUUUUUUUUUUGGAAGGACUGAUAACCAUGGAAAGCAUCAAAGCAAUAUGUCUGCUGUCUGUCUGAAGAACUCUUGAGUGACUAUUCCUAUAAAACAUUGUUUUUGAGUGGUCCAAACACAGUAUAUUUUGAACCCACAGCAGUGGGGAUGCACAUUCUUAUUUCAGCUGUGCAUAACAAAAUACCUGUUCUUUGUAUCUCUACUUGUAUCUAAAUAUGACUUUAAUAGAUACAAAAUCUGUUUGUCUCUAAGUAUGAUAGGAAGUGGUUUUCAGUCUCUUGGAUACUUUUCCGCAUAUGGUGUAUUUGUCCCCUCAUGCAGGCUCUCAAUUCGGAAUUAUUUGUUAUCUACUACCAGUACUUCUAAGCUCCACAUGCCAAGAAUUUAAAAAAUAAAAAUGAAAAAUUUAAAGAUAAAGUAAAAUUGUCUCGCCUCUAGUACCCAAGAAGAAUAGGUUGUCAGGUUUAAUAGACUUUUUCCUUUUAAUGAAUAUUUCAGACCUACCAAACACUGCAGAACUUCAUAUGUUUUAAUAAUUUUGGGGUUUCUUUUUUACAGAGUCAUAGACAAAAUUCUGAGAGAGUAGCCCCUGUAAUUAUCAGUGCUUUCAGAAUAUUUGUGUUUAAUUAUGUGAAUGUACCCUAGACUCCAGGACUCUAAUAUGAAUAGGGUGUCUGUGCUAAAUCUUUCAGUGGGUACAACAAAAAAGUUAACCAUGAGAAGCAAUUCUGCAAAUUACUAGAAUCACAUUAUGCCCCUGUAAUUUCCCCUACCUCUCCCACUAUUCCUCAGCUAAUUUUUUCCUCUGUCCCCACCCUAAAUCUAAGGCCACCCUUGGCUUCAAAGAAGCAUCAGUUCUAAUAUUCGAGUGCUACGUGCUCACUUGGACUAUACAUGUUACAAGAUACUUAAAAGGGAAGUUAAAAGUUUGUACACAUUUAAAGAAUGAUCAGUUUGAUAGCUAGGAUACAUAGUUACUAAGAUGCAUAAUUUUUAAUAAAAUUUAUUCUAAAAACA